rnacentral:rRNA from 1 species
CGGCAGCGCGGGAGCAAUCCUGGCGGCGAGUGGCGAACGGGUGAGUAAUACAUCGGAACGUGCCCAAUCGUGGGGGAUAACGCAGCGAAAGCUGUGCUAAUACCGCAUACGAUCUACGGAUGAAAGCAGGGGAUCGCAAGACCUUGCGCGAAUGGAGCGGCCGAUGGCAGAUUAGGUAGUUGGUGAGGUAAAGGCUCACCAAGCCUUCGAUCUGUAGCUGGUCUGAGAGGACGACCAGCCACACUGGGACUGAGACACGGCCCAGACUCCUACGGGAGGCAGCAGUGGGGAAUUUUGGACAAUGGGCGAAAGCCUGAUCCAGCCAUGCCGCGUGCAGGAUGAAGGCCUUCGGGUUGUAAACUGCUUUUGUACGGAACGAAACGGCCUUUUCUAAUAAAGAGGGCUAAUGACGGUACCGUAAGAAUAAGCACCGGCUAACUACGUGCCAGCAGCCGCGGUAAUACGUAGGGUGCAAGCGUUAAUCGGAAUUACUGGGCGUAAAGCGUGCGCAGGCGGUUAUGUAAGACAGUUGUGAAAUCCCCGGGCUCAACCUGGGAACUGCAUCUGUGACUGCAUAGCUAGAGUACGGUAGAGGGGGAUGGAAUUCCGCGUGUAGCAGUGAAAUGCGUAGAUAUGCGGAGGAACACCGAUGGCGAAGGCAAUCCCCUGGACCUGUACUGACGCUCAUGCACG